CACUACCAGUAAACUCUGUAAUGACAUCUGCUGUUUUGCAAAAUGGCAGAAUGUUUUUUUUUUACCCCUGAUUUAAAUCCACAAAUAAUUCUAUUCUUGUCUUUGUGUCGGUACAGAUUGUUUUGUUUUUCUGAGAAAUUUUUUUCAAAAUAUUUGAUGCAAAAAAAGAGCAGAUGUGACGUCAUGAUUCACAGCUCUGUGGACCAAUGAGGCUCCUUUGCUUUUAAACUGUGUUAGCUGAGCAGAGGGAAGAAAGUCGAGAGAAAACGUAGAGGCAGUAGCUCAGUCUGUAGGGACUUGGGUUGGGGACAGGAGGGUCGCCGGUUGCCGGUUCAAGUCCUGUUGCAGACCAUAAUAUGGAAGUUGGUCUGGUAGCUGGAGAGGUGCCCUUGAGCAAGGCACCGAACCCCCCAACUGCUCAGCAGUUUGUAGCAGCCCCACUCUGACAUCUCUCCACCAAACCAUGUCCACAGGUCCUGUUUGUUCAUGUGUGUGAUUCAGGGCCUAUGAGUGUGAGAAGCAUGUCCCUAUAAAUAACAGAGUGUAAACCAAAUGUCCCCUCGGGGAUUAAUACACUGAACUUAAGACUCUUUGACGUCUGAUCUGUAGGUCCAAAUGUGUGCUUCGGUUAGCAGAAGGGCCGUGCAUGGCGUCAAUUUAAAAAAUGAAGCCAAUGCAGAAGUUCAAGAAACUGCAGUUCCUCAAGUGUCCACAUGAGGCCGUCUCCAAAAGACCCGGAAGUCACAAACACACCCCAUAUUGAAAUUACUGUUUUGACAGCAGUUUUCCAUGAGGUCCGCCUCAGCUCCAGCUCUUUGCCUGUUGUUAGGUUGACUGAAAGUUUGAUAUUGACAGCAUUUCCAAUAUGGCCACCACCAUGUGUCGAGACUUCCCAAACAGCCCUUCAGAAACCAAUGGGUGACGUCACCAGUAUGAUAUGUCAGCGCCUGUCAGGGGGGUAUUUUCGCUUCAGUUUUGUACAAUGGAAGAAGACGGAGACACUCUGUCCAUAUUAAUAUAUACCGUCUUUGGUUUAGAGGUUCAGAAGGUAACAAAAAUAGUUUGUACAUUUUGAUGAGAGUAGAUCCAGAGGGGUCUUCUUAUCAGCCAGUAUCAGGAAGUAGAAAAUGCUUAAAAAUCUCCAUCUCAGAAGACGUGAGAGAUUUAACUUAUCAAUGACGAGCAGAUAUGGAUUAUCGUCUCCAUCUGGAUGGAUUCUCUUUAAGAGCUGCAUGGUUCUUGUGCUGCUUUCACCUCCACUGUGAGCUGGUUUGUCUCAUUGAAAACCUGUUUGUGUGCAUCUGUGAGGAGCGAUUGUGCGCUGGAUUUAGAGGUUUCUAGAUUAGAUUAGAACUUGUUAGUAAUAUUUAGAAGUUCCUGUAACUUUUAGCUGUGUUUUUCUGGACCUGGUCUUUGUUUCUAAUCCCCCCCCCCCCCCCUGUGUUGUUCAGGUCAGUCGAGCUCUGUUGAUAUACAGUAUAAGCACCAGCUGUGACUGUGGUUUUGCUUUAGUUGUAGUGAGCAGGGGAACGUCUGAGGAAAGACAGAGGGGUGAUGUAAGAAAAACAAAUGAACGUUUCCCAGGGUUUUAGCCGGACAAAGGAUUUAGUGUGUCGGGGGCGAAUUCUGAAGCGGUGCGCCUUAUUUAAAGGUUGGAUGUUUUUCUUGUUAUGGCAGCCGUCCAUUAGGUGAUUACAUAAGUUCAUAUCGUUUUUCCUGAGAGCUCGAGUGUCCUUUGGAUGACACUGGUUUUGCAACUAGUUUUGUUUUUUUCUGCUCGCGUUUCUUUCCAGCUGAGUCUUCUCUCUCUCUCUCUCUCUCUCUCUCUCUCUGUCUCUCUCUGUCUCUCUCUGUCUCUCUCUCUCUCUCUCUGUCUCUCUCUCUCUCUCUCUCUCUCUCUCUCUCUCUGUCUCUCUCUCUCUCUGUCUCUGUCUCUCUCUCUCUCUCUGUCUCUCUCUGUCUGUCUCUCUCUGUCUCUCUCUCUCUCUCUGUCUCUCUCUCUCUCUCUCUCUCUCUCUGUCUCUCUCUCUCUCUCUCUCUCUCUCUCUCUCUGUCUCUCUCUGUCUCUCUCUCUCUCUGUCUCUCU